rnacentral:rRNA from 1 species
UACGUAGGGUGCAAGCGUUAAUCGGAAUUACUGGGCGUAAAGCGUGCGCAGGCGGUUAUGCAAGACAGAGGGGAAAUCCCCGGGCUCAACCUGGGAACUGCCUUUGUGACUGCAUGGCUAGAGUACGGUAGAGGGGGAUGGAAUUCCGCGUGUAGCAGUGAAAUGCGUAGAUAUGCGGAGGAACACCGAUGGCGAAGGCAAUCCCCUGGACCUGUACUGACGCUCAUGCACGAAAGCGUGGGGAGCAAACAGG